rnacentral:hammerhead_ribozyme from 1 species
GAACUGCUGAGGAGUCCCACAAUAGGACGGAACGACCGUCCAGUGC